rnacentral:rRNA from 1 species
UGCAAGUCGAGCGAAUGGAUUAAGAGCUUGCUCUUAUGAAGUUAGCGGCGGACCGUUGAGUAACACGUGGGUAACCUGCCCAUAAGACUGGGAUAACUCCGGGAAACCGGGGCUAAUACCGGAUAACAUUUUGAACCGCAUGGUUCGAAAUUGAAAGGCGGCUUCGGCUGUCACUUAUGGAUGGACCCGCGUCGCAUUAGCUAGUUGGUGAGGUAACGGCUCACCAAGGCAACGAUGCGUAGCCGACCUGAGAGGGUGAUCGGCCACACUGGGACUGAGACACGGCCCAGACUCCUACGGGAGGCAGCAGUAGGGAAUCUUCCGCAAUGGACGAAAGUCUGACGGAGCAACGCCGCGUGAGUGAUGAAGGCUUUCGGGUCGUAAAACUCUGUUGUUAGGGAAGAACAAGUGCUAGUUGAAUAAGCUGGCACCUUGACGGUACCUAACCAGAAAGCCACGGCUAACUACGUGCCAGCAGCCGCGGUAAUACGUAGGUGGCAAGCGUUAUCCGGAAUUAUUGGGCGUAAAGCGCGCGCAGGUGGUUUCUUAAGUCUGAUGUG